rnacentral:rRNA from 1 species
GACGUAGGUGGCGACCGUUAUCCGGAAUUAUUGGGCGUAAAGGGUGCGUAGACGGCAUGAUAAGUUAUUGGCGGGAAAUCGAGGCUCAACCUCGUGGAAACUGAUAAUACUGUUUUGCUUGAGUACAGGAGAGGUUAACGGAACUCCAUGUGGAGCGGUAAAAUGUGUAGAUAUAUGGAAGAACAUCAAUAACGGCGAAGGCAGUUAACUAUUCUGUUACUGACGUUGAGGCACGAAAGCGUGGGGAGCAAAACGG